CAAAGCAGGCAGACAUAACCCAUGAAACUCAUAGCUGCUGCUAAAACUGGAAGUACUAUUGUGAACGAAUUAACAAUAUGUUAAUAGCUUUAGAAAACUACAGGCAAUAUGAAAAUAGCUUGCCAGUUUUUUUACACUGGCAUCUGCUUAACUUCUGAUGCUCAUAUUUUUUUUUUUACAAGUCUUUCACUGUUGACACAUAACAUCUCCAAGAGGAAUUUAUUAUAUUUCACAGCCUCGUGGGUUUGCUGCUUCUGAGUCACUUGGAUGUCCACACAGCUGCUGCAUCUGCAGCCAUCUCCCAGGUUUGUGGCAAUCAGAGUUUUUCACAGAGCUCUGAUCGUGAGUGAUUACUUUGGUCCCGGGCACCUGAACACACGGCUGUUCUGCAUUGGAUGUGUGUGCUGGCUGCGUGGGAUAGGAAGGAUGACUUUGAUUUUCUACAAAGAAACUUAUAUUUCCCAGGUAGAGAGAAUGAAAUACUCUCAAACCAUUUUUUUCAGUUCUGGUUAUGGAGCUCCUCCCUGAAGACAGAAGGAAGAUUUUCAAAAGGUUUCAUGGAGUUUUAACUUCUGUAAUAAUUCCUUUCUACAGUCAGUUUGUUAAAUGAAAGCUGUAAAAAAUGUCUUAAGAGUUGAAAGAUUGACCUACUAUACCAAGUGCCAUUCAAUCCCACUAAACUUCCUAGUAUUAGGACAAAAGGAAGCCAGACUUUGUGAGCAAAAUUUAAAAAUUUGGUCUGGAUAUAGUCUAGGAGACAG
rnacentral:lncRNA from 1 species